CGGGCCCUGGGUGGAGGCCAAGCCUGGCCCAUAAAUAGGGGUCUCCUCAGUGCCCUCCGCUCCUCCUGCACACCUUCCGCACACCUCCCUCGCUCUCCCACACCACUGGCACCAGGCCGCGGACACCUGCUCUGCGGCACGAGAAUGGCUACUCAUCACACGCUGUGGAUGGGACUGGUCCUGCUCGGGCUGCUGGGCGGCGUACAGGCAGCACCCGAGGCCCAGGUCUCCGUGCAGCCCGACUUCCAGCCGGACAAGUUCCUGGGGCGCUGGUUCAGCGCCGGCCUCGCCUCCAACUCGAGCUGGCUCCAGGAGAAGAAGGCGGCGCUGUCCAUGUGCAAGUCGGUGGUGGCCCCUGCCGCGGAUGGUGGCUUCAACCUGACCUCCACCUUCCUCAGGAAAAACCAGUGUGAGACCCGAACCAUGCUGCUGCAGCCCGCGGGGUCCCUCGGCUCCUACAGCUACCGGAGUCCCCACUGGGGCAGCACCUACUCUGUGUCAGUGGUGGAGACCGACUACGACCACUACGCCCUGCUGUACAGCCAGGGCAGCAAGGGCCCCGGCGAGGACUUCCGCAUGGCCACCCUCUACAGUACGUGCCCGCCGCUGCCUGCACACAGGCAUGACCAGAGGGGGCUCCCCAAGACCCAGGGCAGGGCACACACCAUCCCGCCGCUGAGGCCAGCUCCGUCUCCACCCUGUCCCAGGCCGAACCCAGACCCCCAGGGCUGAAUUAAAGGAGAAAUUUACCGCCUUCUGCAAGGCCCAGGGCUUCACAGAGGAUACCAUUGUCUUCCUGCCCCAAACCGAUAAGUGCAUGACGGAACAAUAGGACUCCCCAGAGCUGAAGCUGGGACCGCAGCCAGCCAGGUGACCCCUGCGAUCUGGAUGUCUCCGCUCUGUUCCUUCCCCGAGCCCUUGCCCCGGCUCCCCGCCAAAGCACCCCUGCCCCCUCGGGCUUCAUCCUGGCUCUGCGGAAUAAACUCCGGAAGCAAGUCUGUA